UACGAAGGUCCCAAGCGUUAUCCGGAUUUAUUGGGUUUAAAGGGUGCGUAGGCGGGUUAUUAAGUCAGUGGUGAAAGCCUUCAGCUUAACUGGGGAACUGCGUCUGAUACUGGAUGGCUUGAGUUUGGGAGAGGGAUGCGGAAUUCCAGGUGUAGCGGUGAAAUGCGUAGAUAUCUGGAGGAACACCGGUGGCGAAGGCGGCAUCCUGGACCAACACUGACACUGAGGAGCGAAAGCCAGGGGAGCAAACGGG
rnacentral:rRNA from 1 species